GUCUGUGUGUGUGUGUAUGUCAGUGUGUCUGUGUGUGUGUAUGUCAGUAUGUCUGUCAUAGACACACACAGACAUACUGACACAGACAUACUA
rnacentral:miRNA from 1 species